UAAGGAAUAUUGGUCAAUGGACGAAAGUCUGAACCAGCCAUGCCGCGUGGAGGAUGAAGGUCCUCUGGAUUGUAAACUUCUUUUAUAUGGGACGAAAAAGGGACUUUCUAGUUCAACUGACGGUACCAUAUGAAUAAGCACCGGCUAACUCCGUGCCAGCAGCCGCGGUAAUACGGAGGGUGCAAGCGUUAUCCGGAUUCACUGGGUUUAAAGGGUGCGUAGGUGGGUUGGUAAGUCAGUGGUGAAAUCUCCGAGCUUAACUUGGAAACUGCCAUUGAUACUAUCAGUCUUGAAUACCGUGGAGGUCAGCGGAAUAUGUCAUGUAGCGGUGAAAUGCUUAGAUAUGACAUAGAACACCAAUUGCGAAGGCAGCUGGCUACACGAAUAUUGACACUGAGGCACGAAAGCGUGGGGAUCAAACA
rnacentral:rRNA from 1 species